UCCAUGCCAGUACGAAAUCUCAGAUCACAUAUUAAAAUGAUAAACUAGAUCAAAUCUAAGACAAUCACUUAUCUACUAGAGAAUGAAUAAGACCUUCUAGCUGCUCAAGACAUCUGAUUCAUGACACUCAGCUAGGAUGAUGGAUGUUUUGCCUCUGUCCCCACAACCUCUUGAACCACCGUCGGAGCUUCUUCGAUCCACCAGACAUCAUGUUUUCGCCGAAAUCCUUCCUUGGCCAGUAGGUGGGCUACUCGAUUUCCCCCUCUUUAUAUGUUAGAACUUGAUUCUUUUAAAGCUCGCAGAAAUUUGUUUCGCUUCCCAGAUGAAAUUACUAGUCACCAAUUUGUCUAUGCAUGUCGCUUUAAGCUUCUUUAUUACCGCCAAGGAGUCGCCUUCUACUUCCACAAACCGGAAACCCAUCUCCUGAGUGAUUCUGAUUGCUUAGGUACGUACUUGCUAAGGCCUCUGCAGUUAGAACAUCAAGUGUGUAACGAUUCCAUAAACAAGUUGUGUCCAUAAUAAAUCCUUCGUUUUUUUUUUAUGAUAAUACAUGUCCUUAAUCCUUCCAGAUCCUUGUUGAAGCUUACAUCGAAGUUUACCCGAACAAAAGGCUCCAAAGGAGGUCGCCACCCUAUUGACUUUGUUGGCUUAAGCUUUAACUGUUCCCUUGUUAGUGUUUCUAAUUCUCUAGCAUAACCCAAUACAAAGGUAAAAGUCUCAAAACUUGUUUGCUGUUUGCUUUCAUGCACCAACCUAUUCCUUGAGAGCUAAAUUGCCCAAAUUGCUACAAUAAUAAUUAGCUUUUGAUAAUUGCUCCUCCCAUUGAAUAAUUGUCCAACCCGACUUACCAAAGAGUGCUCUACUUGGCUUAUCACCCAAUUGAUUCCCAAUUUGUACCAAACCUCGGGGGAAUAGGUCUCUUCGAUUGGAUGCCAUGCUAUCUACCAAUUCAAUUCACAAGCUCAUGAUCUAAAUUUGUAGAGAUAUGAAAAUAUAAUUCGGUUGAUUGAUAAUAUAACAUUUCAUUUUACAUCAUAUUUUAC
rnacentral:lncRNA from 1 species